AACGAACGCUGGCGGCAGGCUUAACACAUGCAAGUCGAACGCCCCGCAAGGGGAGUGGCAGGCGGGUGAGUAACGCGUGGGAAUCUACCCAUCCCUACGGAACAACUCCGGGAAACUGGAGCUAAUACCGUAUACGCCCUUAGGGGGAAAGAUUUAUCGGGGAUGGAUGAGCCCGCGUUGGAUUAGCUAGUUGGUGGGGUAAAGGCCUACCAAGGCGACGAUCCAUAGCUGGUCUGAGAGGAUGAUCAGCCACAUUGGGACUGAGACACGGCCCAAACUCCUACGGGAGGCAGCAGUGGGGAAUAUUGGACAAUGGGCGCAAGCCUGAUCCAGCCAUGCCGCGUGAGUGAUGAAGGCCUUAGGGUUGUAAAGCUCUUUCACCGAUGAAGAUAAUGACGGUAGUCGGAGAGGAAGCCCCGGCUAACUUCGUGUCAGCCGCCGCAGUAACAC
rnacentral:rRNA from 1 species